GACGAACGCUGGCGGCGUGCUUAACACAUGCAAGUCGAACGGAAAGGCCCUGCUUUUGUGGGGUGCUCGAGUGGCGAACGGGUGAGUAACACGUGAGUAACCUGCCCUUGACUUUGGGAUAACUUCAGGAAACUGGGGCUAAUACCGGAUAGGAGCUCCUGCUGCAUGGUGGGGGUUGGAAAGUUUCGGCGGUUGGGGAUGGACUCGCGGCUUAUCAGCUUGUUGGUGGGGUAGUGGCUUACCAAGGCUUUGACGGGUAGCCGGCCUGAGAGGGUGACCGGCCACAUUGGGAGUGAGAUACGGCCCAGACCCCUCCGGGGGGCAGCAGGGGGGAAUUUUGCACAAUGGGGGGAAGCCUGAUGCAGCAACCCCGGGGGCGGGAGGCCGGCCUUCGGGUUGUAAACCGCUUUCGCCUGUGACGAAGCGUGAGUGACGGGAAUGGGAAAAGAAGCACCGGCUAACUACGU
rnacentral:rRNA from 1 species